UCUUUUCUCUCCCCCUCAGGAGAACGGAACCUCUCGCCGCCACUUUCGAGGAAAGAAAAGAGCCAAUGGAGGUCGCCUUCGCUUGAUCCGCUUGUCCCAGGACCUCCGAGAAGCUUCGUGCCUCUCCGAAGUGCUCGGUCCGUGUAGGUUUUCAGAUCGAUCUGAUCUUUGCUGCGGAGUUUGAUGGCAUCAGAGGAUGUGGUGGGGAAGAGCACGGGGGAAUCGGCGGUGACGACGAUAGUGAAUCUCGCGGAGGAGGCGAAGCUCGCGCGAGAGGGAGUCAAGGCUCCCAGUCACGCGAUCCUGAGCAUCUGCAAGUCCCUUGUGGCCGGUGGAGUAGCGGGAGGAGUAUCAAGAACAGCUGUUGCUCCACUUGAGCGGCUAAAAAUCCUAUUGCAGGU